CUACGGGAGGCAGCAGUAAGGAAUAUUGGUCAAUGGACGCAAGUCUGAACCAGCCAUGCCGCGUGAAGGAUUAAGGCCCUCUGGGUUGUAAACUUCUUUUAUAGGGGAAGAAAUGUGACGGUUCUCCGUCACUUGACGGUACCCUGGGAAUAAGCACCGGCUAACUCCGUGCCAGCAGCCGCGGUAAUACGGAGGGUGCAAGCGUUAUCCGGAUUCACUGGGUUUAAAGGGUGCGUAGGUGGGCAGAUAAGUCAGUGGUGAAAUCUUCCGGCUUAACCGGGAAACUGCCGUUGAUACUAUUUGUCUUGAAUAUUGCGGAGGUAAGCGGAAUAUGUCAUGUAGCGGUGAAAUGCUUAGAUAUGACAUAGAACACCAAUUGCGAAGGCAGCUUACUACACAAUCAUUGACACUGAGGCACGAAAGCGUGGGUAGCGAACAGGAUUAGAUACCCUGGUAGUCC
rnacentral:rRNA from 1 species